rnacentral:rRNA from 1 species
UACGUAGGGCGCAAGCGUUGUCCGGAAUUAUUGGGCGUAAAGAGCUCGUAGGCGGCCUGUUACGUCUGCUGUGAAAUCCCGGGGCUUAACCCCGGGCGUGCAGUGGAUACGGGCAGGCUGGAGGCAGGCAGGGGAGAACGGAAUUCCCGGUGUAGCGGUGAAAUGCGCAGAUAUCGGGAGGAACACCGGUGGCGAAGGCGGCUCACUGGCCCGAUACUGACGCUGAGGCACGAAAGCGUGGGGAGCAAACAGG